rnacentral:lncRNA from 1 species
AUGACUGUGGAGGAUCUCCUUUCUCCUGUUUCCUUCCCUCUGCCUCCCUCCAGGUGCCAAAUCGAACUGGACAAGCUGCAGUCGCAGUCCCACUUGGCCCUCCUGCCCCCCCGCUGGUGUUCCUCCGCGCCGUGGGCCGAAGGUGGCAUUGAGGCCAAAGCAGAGCUUAGCAGGACCCUUGCAGCUGGAGCAAGUAUUCAGGACAGCAGCCCUGCCGUUGGAGGCCCCUGCGGGAAGGAGAGCCCCACCGCCUCCUGGCAGCAAGAAGCGGCUUGUCCCAGUGCCCCACCCGGGAGCCCCAUCCCCACAGAGAAUGGCGAAGGGGCCCAGGCGAUGGCAUCAGAACUGGCAUCCAUGGGAGAGAGGCUCGAGAAAGAAAAUCAAGAGUUGAGACUCGCUCUUGGCAAAGCAGAAACCCGGAUGCAAGAAAAGGAAAGGGAACUGUGGAAUUUGCAGGGGCAGUUGGAGCUGAUCCGAGCUGAGCUGGCUCAGUGGAAGAAGCAGCGAGGCGGACAGACGGAGAGCAGCUCCCUGGAAAACAGAGGGAGGCGGCCGUCGGUGGAUGUGGGAGACCUGCGCCAAAGCAGGCACCAGCAAAAGGUGGGCUAAUCUUCCUAACAUAUUGUUGCACGCCCCCCCCCCCAAUCUCUGAAUGUUUCAGGAGUUCCAGGCACUUAUCAAGGAUUCAUGUUUGUUUUUGGAAAUGAGGCACAGCGGAGACCGUGGUGUCCUUAUGAUAGAUGGUUUAUUUCCAUAUAUAUACAAUCCGAGCCUACAGGGGAGGGUUUUACAGCAUUUACACUCCAAUAGGGUCUUGCUUCUCUCAUAGCUGCAGCCUUGGAUUCAAACAGAAAUCAAUCACGGCUCUCAAACUCACUCCGGCUUGCUGCUUUACUUCCAGGUCACAUCACUGCAACUAAACUCUAACUCUGGCUUCAUCCUUCUUCUAACUAACCAUGAGUUUGCUGUCUUGCGCAGAGCCACUUUCCUUUGUUUUCCUUAAUGGCCCAUCUCCCAGGCUAUCGCCUCAACAGUAGGCGCACCAUAUUUCAAAAAGUAAAGACCAGGACACCCUGAAAGUUGCUGAGCACUUUUACAAAAAAAACAACCAAAACCCACGAUUUUUCGAUUGACUUGUCUAAGAUCUAGCACCACAUUUUGGAAAUUCCCCCUGGACGUCAAUUCCGCCUUUGAAAAUCCAGAAGUAUGGCAGCCCUACUCAACACAGGCAGCUAGCCUGGCUUAUGUUUUAACACUUGCUGGAUCCAGGGAUUAGAAAGGUAUUGCACAGAGCCUUUUUCCUCCUCCCCUAAAUUCAUAACAAUAUAAUAUAAUACAGUACAUAAUGUAAACCAUACGCAUGUGCUAUGGGCUGCUUUCAAACAGGGAGCUCAGGCAGAACUGCAGUACAAAGAAUCCAUUGGUGCAAAAAUAGCACUGGGACUCAGCCGCCAUAGAUGAUGAUGCCAUCACUGAAAUGUCACUAAGUUAAUGGAGACUUGUAGCAGGAUACUGCUCUGCCUCUACAGCUGGAGCCAGCAGGGCUUCUGAAUACCAGUUGCUGGAAACCACAAGAAGGGAGAGUUCUCUUGUGCUCUAAUUCUGCUUGCUGGUUUCCCAUAGGCAUCUGACGAGCGACUGUGCGACCAGGAUGCUGUUCUAGAUGGGCUCCUGGAUAAGUUAUGACUCGGCGGUUUCACACUCUUGUCUCUCUUUUUAAGUUCCUGGCAGUGGCUGUCUAAGGUCCUCUGGCAGAGAGAAUUCCCUUUAAGACCUCUUUAAACUGCGAUUGAAGCAGGAACCUUCUGCAUGCAGAGCAGGUGUUCUGCCACUGAACUGCCGCUUCUCCGUGUUUUUGAAUUUUUAAAAAAUGUGCUGGCAACUCCCCAUUUACGUGCAUUCAAGGCACAGGCAACUGCGCAUGGGCACAUCGCUGCGAACCUGGAAGUGGCACAGAAAGGGGCAUGGGUGGCCCUAAAAGAGUGCGGAAAUGGCAGAAAUGGUGCGAAAACAGCGCUUAGCAAUCCCAGGAGACUUUGCAAGUGCAGUCCCAGAAGCCUUUGCACCGACCAUUGAGGCCUGUGGAGAGUUGGAGUUAGGUAAAGAGAAUGGGGUUAAUGUCAGACCUGCAGACACUCGUGCUUCCUUAUAGAGAGUCAUGAAUACCUGAAGCCUUAAAGGUAAAGGUACCUCUGCCCGUACGGGCCAGUCGUGUCCGACUCUGGGGUUGUGCGCCCAUCUCACUCAAGAGGCCGGGGCCCGCGCUGUCCGGAGACACUUCUGGGUCACGUGGCCAGCGUGACAAGCUGCAUCUGGCGAGCCAGCACAGCACACGGAAACGCCGUUUACCUUCCCGCCAGUAAGCGGUCCCUAUUUAUCUACUUGCACCCGGGGGUGCUUUCGAACUGCUAGGUUGGCAGGCGCUGGGACCGAACGACGGGAGCGCACCCUGCCGCGGGGAUUCGAACUGCCGACCUGACGAUCGGCAAGUCCUAGGCGCUGAGGUUUUACGCACAGCGCCACCUGCGUCCUAGCUGAAGCCUUAGCAAUGUAUUAAAUGGUUCAGUGAUUUGACAGUGUCCGCACUCAAUAUUUUCCUUACAAGUCUGAUGUAAGCAUGGAACAACACUCUGCAGUUUUUAUUGGAAUGUCAUUUUACCAUAAAAUUAAUAAAGUACUCUUUGAGUUGUUUUAACUCAGCUCUCCUGCCACGAUAUUUGCAACGAAGGAAAAGGCCACGACCAGAAAAAAAUGGGUGGACCAGAAUAAUAGUCUCCAAGAAAACAACAACCCAGACUCCUUUCUUUUGCCAACUUUCUCUUUUGCAGUGGGGGUAUCGAGGCAGCCGUUGGACAGACAUGGGUGGGGAAACUGGCAUUCUGCCUUGUGUCCCUGACCUCUCUGCUCUUAACGCCCACUUUCAAAACAGGGCCUGCUUGGGACAGAAAAGGUGCCCUCUAGUGGCAGCCGUCGUAGCAUAAGCUCCUCCCGCUUGGAGCAGCCGGUUGAGAAACGGGGAGCUCACACCAAAUUGAAAGGUGAGACUCUGCACAUGUUUUUGUGUGUGUUUGUGUUAGAUGGCAGUGAUAUAAAGAGCAGUCUGCAUUUGUUUUUCUUUUUGCAAGAAUCGUGAGCCUUCAGUCCUUGUUAUAUUUAUCCCUGGUCAUGGUUCUAUAGAAAUGUGCAUAUUGUAAUUAUAUUUUGUAUGUUAUGUAUAGUAUUUCAUAUAUUGCAUACCUUUAUGGUAUAUAUAUGUGUGUGUGUGUGUGUGUGUGUGUGUGUGUGUGUGUGUAUAUAUAUAUAUAUGGAAUAAUUAUAUUUUGUAUGAUAUGUAGCUUUCAUGUAGGUGUAUGGGUUUUAUCCAG